UACCUCAAGUCAAGUAAGAAUACCCGCUGAACUUAAGCAUAUCAAUAAGCGGAGGAAAAGAAACUAACUAGGAUUCCCUUAGUAACGGCGAGUGAACUGGGAAAAGCUCAAAUUUUAAAUCACCUCGGUGAAUUGUAAUUUGAAGAAAGUGGUUUGACUUUUCAGUUUAAUCUAAAUCCUUUGGGAUGAGGUAUCAUAGAGGGUGAGAAUCCCGUUCUUGAUUAAACCUCGGAUUGCACUAAAUUCACUUUCUAAGAGUCGAGUUGUUUGGGAUUGCAGCUCCAAAUGGGUGGUAAAUUUCACCUAAGGCUAAAUAUAUGCAAGAGACCGAUAGCGAACAAGUACCGUGAGGGAAAGAUGAAAAGUACUUUGAAAAGAGAGUUAAACAGUACGUGAAAUUGUUGAAAGGGAAACGAUUGAAGUCAGUCAUGCUAGUGAGGAAUCAACUUGGUGGUUUACUUCCUUGUGCAUUUUCUCGCUUGGCAGGUUAGCAUCAAUUUUGGUUGUCAUCAAAGAAUUGGGGGAAUGUGACUUUUCUUCGGUAAAGUGUUAUAGACCCUGAUUGAUGUGGCGACUGGGAUUGAGGUUUGCAGCGGAUGCCUCUUGUGGCUAGUCACCUAUCUUCUGACCGUCACCUCACUUUUGACAGCUUGCUGAUGAUUGCGGGAUUUGGCGACCUAGAAGUUAGAGUGAACAUAAAUUCGCUAAGGAUGCUGACGUAAUGGCUUUAAACGACCCGUCUUGAAACACGGACCAAGGAGUCUAACAUAUGUGCGAGUGUUA
rnacentral:rRNA from 1 species